UACGUAGGGGGCAAGCGUUAUCCGGAUUUAUUGGGCGUAAAGAGCUCGUAGGCGGCCGUUCGCGUCGGAUGUGAAAGCUCAGGGCUCAACCCUGAGACGCCAUUCGAUACGGGACGGCUAGAGGUAGGUAGGGGAAAGUGGAAUUCCUGGUGUAGCGGUGAAAUGCGUAGAUAUCUGGAGGAACACCGGUGGCGAAGGCGGCAUCCUGGACCGACACUGACACUGAGGAGCGAAAGCCAGGGGAGCAAACGGG
rnacentral:rRNA from 1 species